rnacentral:rRNA from 1 species
GCUCAGGAUGAACGCUGGCGGCAUGCCUUACACAUGCAAGUCGAACGGCAGCAUAGGAGCUUGCUCCUGAUGGCGAGUGGCGAACGGGUGAGUAAUAUAUCGGAACGUGCCCUAGAGUGGGGGAUAACUAGUCGAAAGACUAGCUAAUACCGCAUACGAUCUACGGAUGAAAGUGGGGGAUCGCAAGACCUCAUGCUCCUGGAGCGGCCGAUAUCUGAUUAGCUAGUUGGUGGGGUAAAAGCCUACCAAGGCAACGAUCAGUAGCUGGUCUGAGAGGACGACCAGCCACACUGGGACUGAGACACGGCCCAGACUCCUACGGGAGGCAGCAGUA